rnacentral:rRNA from 1 species
UGAGGAAGUAAAAGUCGUAACAAGGUCUCCGUAGGUGAACCUGCGGAGGGAUCAUUACAAGUGACCCCGGCUACGGCCGGGAUGUUCAUAACCCUUUGUUGUCCGACUCUGUUGCCUCCGGGGCGACCCUGCCUUCGGGCGGGGGCUCCGGGUGGACACUUCAAACUCUUGCGUAACUUUGCAGUCUGAGUAAACUUAAUUAAUAAAUUAAAACUUUUAACAACGGAUCUCUUGGUUCUGGCAUCGAUGAAGAACGCAGCGAAAUGCGAUAAGUAAUGUGAAUUGCAGAAUUCAGUGAAUCAUCGAAUCUUUGAACGCACAUUGCGCCCCCUGGUAUUCCGGGGGGCAUGCCUGUUCGAGCGUCAUUUCACCACUCAAGCCUCGCUUGGUAUUGGGCAACGCGGUCCGCCGCGUGCCUCAAAUCGUCCGGCUGGGUCUUCUGUCCCCUAAGCGUUGUGGAAACUAUUCGCUAAAGGGUGUUCGGGAGGCUACGCCGUAAAACAACCCCAUUUCUAAGGUUGACCUCGGAUCAGGUAGGGAUACCCGCUGAACUUAAGCAUAUCAAUAAGCGGAGGA